rnacentral:rRNA from 1 species
AGUGAACGCUGGCGGCAGGCCUAACACAUGCAAGUCGAACGGCAGCACAGUAAGAGUUUGCUCUUACGGGUGGCGAGUGGCGGACGGGUGAGGAAUACAUCGGAAUCUACUUUUUCGUGGGGGAUAACGUAGGGAAACUUAUGCUAAUACCGCAUAUGACCUACGGGUGAAAGCAGGGGAUCUUCGGACUUUUCGUGUCUGAUUGAGCCGAGGUCGGAUUAGCUAGUUGGCGGGGUAAAGGCCCACCAAGGCGACGAUCCGUAGCUGACCUGAGAGGAUGAUCGGCCACACUGGAACUGAGACACGGUCCAGACUCCUACGGGAGGCAGCAGUAGGGAAUAUUGGGCAAUGGGCGAAAGCCUGAUGCAGCCAUGCCGCGUGAGUGAAGAAGGCCUUCGGGUUGUAAAGCCCUUUUGUUGGGAAAGAAAAGCAGCAGAAUAAUACCCCGAUGUUCUGACGGUACCCAAAGAGAAAGCACCGGCUAACUUCGUG